rnacentral:rRNA from 1 species
UACGAAGGGGGCUAGCGUUGCUCGGAAUCACUGGGCGUAAAGCGCACGUAGGCGGACUCUUAAGUCGGUGGUGAAAUCCUGGAGCUCAACUCCAGAACUGCCUUUGAUACUGAGAAGCUUGAGUCCGGGAGAGGUGAGUGGAACUGCGAGUGUAGAGGUGAAAUUCGUAGAUAUUCGCAAGAACACCAGUGGCGAAGGCGGCUCACUGGCCCGAUACUGACGCUGAGGCACGAAAGCGUGGGGA